UGUAUGAUCAGUAUGGAAAAU
rnacentral:piRNA from 1 species